rnacentral:lncRNA from 1 species
UAAAGCCAAGGAUGCCUUUGCACAGACAGAUUUUACGUGCAUGGUUGGGAAGAGCAUAAAGUUGGACGGAGCAGCAAGGAAGCGCUUGCGUGAAACAUUGCCCGUCAGGGAGGACCAAGUGCAGUUCAGGGACAUGCCUAUGGAAGAAGCUGGUGGUGGUGCCGGCGUCACCUUCGGCAACUAUUUUUCUACUGGUACGACUGCCAUGGGUGUCAUGAGACUAGGCCCGAAU